rnacentral:sRNA from 1 species
GCCGGGCAUGGUGGCUCAUGCCUGUAAUCCCAACAGUUUGGGAGGCCGAGGUAGGCGGAUCACCUGAGGUCAGGAGUUUGAGACCAGCCUGGCCAACAUGGUGAAACCCCACCUCUA